CCAAAGUCGCAUCGAAGUGAGAUUGAAGGAUUGAAAAGUCGAGAUUUUUUGUGAUGGCCGACUUUCCGACGGUUCGUCAAAUUGAUCGAAGAACUGCAGUGUUGUUGUGUAUAACUUUUCUUCUUUCCUUUUCCGUGUGGAUUUUCAUCAUAUUCUUCGUCCGCAUCAGUGAAUAGUUUGCAGAACUUAUCACUUUUUGACCAGUGAGUUCGACGAAUUUACAUCACAAUGGCGUCUUUGGCUGCAGCCCAGUUGCUGGAUGAGUUGAUGGGUAGAAAUAGAAAUUUAGGCCCAAAUCAGAAAUCUAAAGAGCUUCACUGGGAGGACCCUGAGUUUUGCAAAUACUUCCUGGUCAAAUUUUGCCCUCAUGAUUUGUUUGUCAAUACGAGAGCAGAUCUGGGACCAUGUCCCAAAGUGCAUGAUGAUCUGGCUAAAGAACAGUUCGACAAGUCCACAAGUUACCUGAAGACGCAGUAUGAAGAUGACUUCCUGCGCUUCGCCCAAGGCAUGUUAAAUGAAGUUGAGCGAAAGAUCGCCAAAGGCAAACAACGCCUUGCACUAAUGGAAGCCAAGGAGUCUCCGUCAUCUUUAUCCCCAGCCCAGACUCAAAAAAACAUGGAACAAAUCAAUCUCCUGUCUGAAAAAAUCAACAAUUUAGUCAACGAAGCUGAACAAAUGGGUAUCGAAGGUAAUGUUGAACAAGCUCAAGGAUUGAUGAAACUGAAGGAUCAGUUAGAGGAAGAACGGGAAGCCUUGCGCAAACAAAAUGACAACAGUCAUUGGAGUCAGACGGCGGAGCUUGCAGCAGCUCAAGAAAAACAAAUGGAGGUUUGUGAAGUUUGUGGAGCGUUCCUUAUUGUUGGUGAUGCCCAGUCACGUAUUGAUGACCAUCUAAUGGGAAAACAGCAUGUUGGUUACGCAAGAUUAAAAGGAGCUGUUGAGGAGCUUAAUGUUAAAAGAGAAAAAGCUCGGGAGGAAAAAGAAAAACGUAGAAAUGAAGAAAGAGAGAAGCAUCGUAAUAGUCGGGAUCGAUGGACAGAAGAAAAACGAAAAAUUAGUGAAAAAGAGGAAAGGAGGAGCCAUCAUAGGGAUCCGACCGCAAGAAAAAAUUCCAGCCCUAACGGGAGAAGUAUAAGGGACCGAGAAAGAGAGAAAGACAGAGAGAAAGACGUUAAAUCACGCCACCGAGACCGUGACCAUGAUGGUCGCCACAGCUCUCGAAGUUCUCAUGGGCGUCAUAGGAGCAGAAGUCCCUUGGAUCGUGGUCGAGACAAGGACCGCCACAGAGAUCGAGGUAGUAGAGGAAUGAAUGGACACAAUGAUCGACACAGUUCGAGUAGAAGUGAUCGUGACAGGCAUCGAGACCGGGACCGCAGGUAGACGAGGUGACUUCUGUGAUGGUCAGUGUUUACUGCGUUUCCAGGUAAGUCUAUUCUAGCCUUACUACGUAGCUCAAGGAAAGUCUUGCAAUAAUUUUUUAGUAAACCAAUCCCAUCCCCUCUCAGCUAUGAGCCUGGUUUAAAAAUUCAUAUUCACGUUUCUCCGUACCUCACAAAUUUAUUGCCCACCAAGACAUGUGCAAUCGUCAGUUGAUUGCAUAUGUAAGCUUGAUUUUGCAACAAAGUGACUUUCAAAACGAGUCAUAUUUUUAAACGCCAUUUUUGUAGGUUGAGUGCACUACCUGACUUAUCCAACUGUCCCACAGUUUUCACCUGUCCUCUUUUAAAAGACCUUAGAAGACGCAAUGCAUUUUGAUUUUCAAAGAAUUAAGUAACAAACCUUGUUUCUGAAAUUUUUGAUGAGAGAGCUGCAGAAAUUCUUUACCUUGCGAGACAGUUACAAAGAUAACACUGACGGUCUCCACUAGAAUCAGUCCUAAAAAUCACCCCCUGUCCCAGGCAAGUCCCUGCUAGACUGAAGAUAGUUACAAUUCGUUUUUUGAUAUUAAAAGCCCACAAAACCCAUGAGAUUUUCAAAUUUUACCACUGAUUUCUUUGAGAUCUGUCUAUAAACUGCAAAUUGAUAGUUUUCAUUACUGCCUCCCAUCAUUGAAUACUCUAAGUGCAAGACUUUCCUAGCGAUUGAUGCUAACAAGCCCGCUUAUUUCAACAGGAUCCUAACUCAGGUAAGCGCGCGUCAUUGUCAGUCACUAUUUUAAGUGACACUUUGUCUGUGCGUUUGCAGUCUGAUUUAAUUUAAUCAUAAUUUUCUCUCUGGUGCAUUUUGAUCUAUAUUCACCAAUGUGCACUUAUUUAGUGAAGAUCAAUUUAGUGGCUCAGUCAUCAAUUUUUAUCUCAGUUUGAUGGUUCGAAUGUGAGCGGACAUAUAACCUUGUCAUAUUUGCACUAUGGUUGUAAAAUGCACUCAGGUGUUCCUUGCAAUUGAAAUUUCUUGUGUGUAAUAAAUCAUUAGUUGAUUUAUGACUUCUUAAUGAUAUCGUUUCAAGAAAUUUACACAUUAAUUCAUGCCAAAUUUGGACAUGAGGGUAUGUUUGUUUUAGUUUGAUCCAUCGCAAAUUAAUCAUGCGAUAUAUUGCAAUUAUUGUACAUUGACACAUCGAAUGUUGUGAGAAUGACGUAGCCACUAAAUCAGUCUAUGAGUUGAGAGGACUGAGUGUGUAUCCAAGUUAUUCUCCCAUGCAAUAGGAGGAUGCAUAGUGCCAGAUAAUUCACAAAUUAUUCUCCCAAUUUUUUUUUUUUUUUUUCACGUAUUGAAGGUUUCAGCAGGGCUUCAUAUUAUGAAGCAAGAAAAAACCUUUUGAUGCAAAGGGUGCAUCUAACUCUCAUAGUAUAUUCCUAAUUUUUUGUAGAUAGAAAAGAAAAAAUGGAAUCAAUGCAAAAUUUUCAGACUUAAUUUUGUUUUUAUAAAUCAAUUUCAAGUUAUGGAAGAAAUUUUGAGAUUUAUUCUAAUUUCCGUAACCAAACUAAGACUCAACACGCCAUCCCUCAGAUUUUUUAAUUUUUUAAAAAAAAUGUCUCAUAUCUGCCCCAUGCCCUUGGUUUUUCCCCUUUUUUCUUUCCUUUUUUUCUUCUAUUACCAGACCUGCUUUAGAUUGGCAGCAGUUACUGUUCAUUGAUAUUUUGAUUUAUGUAAAGAGUCUCCUCAAUUUUUUACGAAGGCUCUCUCAGUAUAUAUUUGAAAGAGAAUCAUCCAACUUUGCUGUGUGGUGAACCAUCAUAUCAGGCAACAUGAGUUUUCUCGAGGUAAGCCCAAAUGAACUAAAAUAAAACUACCCGCUGACAAGAUCAGAUCGACUUUUGUCAUAUGUGAAGCAAGUCGGUGUGGCUCGCAAGAUGUCUUCAAAUGACUCAAUCCUGCAUCUGUUUUCAUCCCCUUGAAUUUCAACAAAAUCUCUUCAUUGUGAUGGGAAGGUACAUAUAUUUGAAAAAUAAAGAGGAACGAAUUUUCCGUUAUUAGGAUUUAUCGUUUGUCAAAAAAAGAACUGCUUUUGGCAAGUAAAGAGAAGAAGAAUACAUUUUUUGUGGUGGGGAAAAAAAUUUAAGAGUGGAAGCAAUCAAUUGCAGAUGGGAAUAUUGUUUCUGAUUGCAUUAAUUUUUGUAGGUGUCGUUUCUAAAAUCUAAUGUAUACCAUUAGAUCUGAUUCAUCUUAAAAAAUCAUUUAUCUCCUACAAAAAAGUGCAAAUUCUAUGCAGAAGUAUACCACUUCUCUGCGCCGCUAUCAGUCGUUAUGUCCAUUCAUAAUUUUUUUUUUUCGUUUCUUCUCUGUUACUCCAUCUGUCUAUCUUUCUCUCUUUUUCAAGCAAAAUUUGGUUGCUUUCAAAAUAUAUUAAGAUUCUAGCUGUAUUUUAGAGUUUCCAAGUGUGGGAACUGCUCCAUUGCAGUCUGUGAUAACUUUGAAUCAGUAAUUCGCGUACGGCAAUUGGUAUGAAUCGAGGUUAGUGCAAGCACAUUAUUACUCCAUCAUAUCAAUUUUAGGAUACACUCUCUUUGACCAUUUAUGUUAUAAUGUCAGUUCAUUCCCCCUGUUAGAUGAUUGGACAGCAUCAAUAUUCUCUCAAUAAAUCAAGAAGAAUACACCCCUAUUUUGUGAUGGGAUUUCCUCUAUCCAAAAUGUUUCCAAAGUUUUAGUUGACCUCUAAGUAGCAAUGAAAAAGGAUCACACAAACUGCUCGCUCAUUGGUCGCAAAUGGGUAACUUAAGUGCUUAUAAAUUUUUCUGGAACGUGUUACAACUCGUUUUUAAAACAUAUCUAUCAUUAAACUAAAAACUCUUUGGUUUUAUAUCAACAUGUCAGUUGUUUCCACUGGUAACAAUCUUCAAUCUAUGGCUCAGUUAGACCUACGACCAAACAUGCUAGUGUGACUUAGCUGACUAAUAAUUAGAACACACUUAGCAUAACCACCGCAACUGAUUACCAAUGUGUAGAUGAGGAGUACUAAGUUAGGAUUUUUUUCUUUUUCUUUUCCUUUUUUUUGCAAGCAAAUAUAUGCUUGCGUACUUACCCUUUUUUGCCAAUUUUAAAUCCAAUCGGCAUGACCUUGACAGAUAAUAAUAAUAUGUAAUGUAAUCCAAGCUGAGAAUGAAAAGACUCUAUGAGGAAAAUGUUUAUCCUUGCGGACUCGCUAAACCUGGAAAAUUUUAAAAGACCAAACUAAACAGAGGUUUUGAGUUGACUCGAGUAAUUCAGCCUUAACCCAGCCUUAAUUCAUUUUAUUUUUCUCAGUUCUUACUAAAAUGGUUUCACUUAACAAUUGAAAUGGUGAUUUUGAUCAAGGCCAAGCAGUCUCUAACCACAAUCAGGAAGGAAUAUCCCCUUAGCCUUUUUAAAAUGCUGUUGCAACGUAUGCAAGGUAGAGAAGAUACCUAAAAUUCUCUAAUUUAAUGAAGAAACUUACUUCAGAGAGUGCAAAAAUUCAAAGUUACACCUCAAUGUUUAUUGUCAAAUUGCUAUUUUAGCCAAGUCAGUCAAGUUAGUUGGUUUAUAAUUAAACGUUCCAAAUUGGAGUCUCUUUCAUUGUCAAUUAUUUUUAUGUGGUAAAAGUAUAGAGAAAAUCAUAUGAGCAUUCAUGUGGUAUUACGCUGCUUUAUACAUCAAAGUUUUAUUGAGGGGUUUGAAGCUAUUGUGUAGACCAAACGUUUUGCAAAUGCUUUCAAUCAUGCUCAUGGACUUCCCAUCAGUUCAUCAUACUACAGGAUUAUCUAUGUCCGUACCUAGAGCUUUUUGAAAAUAAUUUAAGGCAAGGACAUUAAUUAGGAGGGGGUAUUUUCCUCUCUCCUCCAUUUUAAGUUUAACCUUUUCUUGGGCAGUUUUAAUUAAAUUCAAAGAAUUUUUUGAUGUCUUCCAUCUGCCUUCCUUUUAGGCAUAUUUGGUCUCUGUCCAAGCUCUUAUGUGAUGACCUUGGUUUUAAGUGGUAGAAAGAAAUGCAAAAUGCAAUCUGUAACUUUUAAAAUAACUCAUCAUGAAUGACGAGGACUUGUUCUUUUGAUUUGGACUGAUCCACCUUGCCUACUCAUUAAUGGAUCCACAAAAAGUCGGCGAGAACUUUAUUGGAGUUUUGUAGGGUUAUUCAGUUUUUUGUCAAAAAUGUACAUUGGUUGGUCCAAAGUAUACACAACCUCCCUACGUUUUGAACGACAAAUUUUGUACCACCUGGCAUACCCUUAAUGUUCAGGAAAUUUUACCAACAUGUGUCAGGGUAAUGUUGAGGAAUUUCAUUCUCUGAAUUCUGUGGCAACCGUAAUUUUUAAUGUCAGUUUGAGUCAAAGGACAUUGGUAGAGAAUUGUUUUGUGUAAUUAAAUUGGUUUUUCAUGUUGGUAAAACAAAUCUAAAAUUAUUGCCCAAGACUUUGUAUGUGGUAGGAACUGAUCCUUUUAUUUUUUCCGCCUUUCUUUCCACCUUUAAAAUAUGUUACUUUGUUUUAAAGGGCCAGGUCGAAGAAAGUGAAAAGUAAUUUACUUGUUAAUCUGUUUUCAGGGUUUGUACUCAUUUUUAAAGGGGCAGGCGGUAAAACGGUUUAUUGUGCUUGUCGUCAGUGUUUUACUGUUGGUACUUUCGAGGCAAUCAACGCAGCCUUUGCUCCCGUUUAGGCUCACAUCUUGCAGGGUUUAAUGUGAUGUGACAAAAGAAGUAAGUGAAAUCCCUCGGAUACUCCAAUGCUUUAGCCGACCUCUUUUCUAGAAACUUAUGAAGCCUACUCUCGCUAUUUUCAGGUGAUGACUACUAUCUUUGUAAUUAUUGUCAGUAGCUACAUAGCUGAAAUAUUUCUUUAAUUGCACUUUCUUUGAUGAAGUCAAUUAACACUAAAUAUAAAUUCCAACCUUGAUGUGAAUUUGGCAGCAACUUUCUUCACUCAGAAUAUUUGUUUUAGAUUUUGUCAAAAUCUCUCAGAAAAUUAUUAAGUUAUGUCCGGUACUGUCCAAGACUCAAAUUCCUUUAAAAUCACGCCUGAAACUUUUAAAAUGAGGAGACAAUUAGUUAAUGAGAAUGCACUUCUUGUAAAAUUUGAUGCAACUUAAAGGUACCUCUCCUUAUUCUUUUAAAAAAGUCUGACAAGGGAUUUUGAAAGCGCUUGAGCUAUGUUGAAGCGUUUCUUUUCAUACUGCAAGUCCAGCAAAAUUUGAACCCCUGUGAGGAGGACUUGAUUACGUUCAGACAUUUUUCCUUAAGCUAGUGUUAGUUACCAUGACGGAAGAGGAAGUUGAUCAAAGUAAUGACAAAUAAAUGGUAGCAGUCCUCGUGUGAAAAGGAUUUUCCUGUUUAGGAUUUGUUGUGUUGAUGAACAAGAGUGGAUAACUUAUGUUCGCCUUGAUGUAAUUCAUUGCCUACCCUAUUUACGGAGUUCGAGGUUCAGGUCUUGAUUGGAACUAAUCUCAUGGAAGUGUCUCAAUUAGACUCGGGAGCUUUUAUUUGCUCUUGGAACAUUCAUUCAGGUCGAUAAGAAGAGUGACUCGCAUUAGUUGUAUAAAAUUCUACCAAGAGUGUGUCCGCUAAGCAUAUUGUCCCCAUUUUAUAGGUAUGAAAAAGUUGGACCCAAAUUUUAUAUCUUACAAAUCUAAAAUUUGUAGCGUUCUAAUCGAUUUUAUAGCAAGACUUUAGAAUUUUAUAGAGAGGGUACUAGUGCCAUAAGUUCAAAUUAAUAUUAACCAGUCAUCUUAUUCCUGUGUCAAUUUCUAAGUACACUUAUUCCUGUUGUACAUUUUUUUUUGUAAAUUUAGCAUCCCAAAGGUGGGAGAAAUUUCUCAGCGCUUAGUUUAUGAGGUAACCUUUUAUUUUCAAUUUUUUUGCCGAUGUGUUUGAAUGUGUUUCCAUCGAUCCUUUUUCUUCAUCAUUGUUAGGACUUACCAUCCUUCCUUUUGCUUUCAAGUUUGGAUUUGUAUAAGAACAAGGGAAAGUUCUAUGUCAUUCACAGUUUUGAUGAAUUGUAUGAGACAGACAUCCUUGAAAGCAGCCGCUCCCCCCCCCCCCAAAAUAUGAUCACCACAGGUUUUCAGAGAGGUAUCCAAAUACAAAUAAAAACUUACAGCUGCGUAGUUUUUGCAAAUUUUGUCCUUUGUCAAAUGAGAUUAGAAUGGCUUACAUUGGGUAAUUAUGGAGUCGGAUGAUGAAAAAUAUUUAAAAUUAAAUUUUUACUCAGGCAAAUAUUCACUAAAUUGAUCGCUGGAUCACAGCAAUUUAUGAUUUGGUCUAGACUACUUUGGUUCACGAACAAUUCAAAGAAUAAUUUUACGUAUUUGGACAUUUCCUUGCAACUUAUUUUUUGUGAUAGCCCAUGUUCACAUAUUUCCUCACUUGUUGCCUGGUUCCACAUUUUUGUCUACGUAUUAUCAAUAGCAAUGUUUAGCUCCAACCUGAGGGUUAAAGAUGCAUUAAGAUUUUUAACAUAGACAUUUUGGAGCGUUAAAUUUUGCAAGCAGCAAGGCACACUAGUAAUCCAAGCUGUGUCACAUUUGUGGAGCCGACAGGGUGUCUACAGGUCUAGACAAUCUAAAAAACAAGGGAUUUCAGUAGGUCAGGGAAAUCAGAAAAAGGUCAGAAAAUUUGAUGGAAAAGGCUGGAAUUUUUAAAUAUCUUAAUUCUAGAAACCUGGGAAAACGUCAGCGCUGCCCACACAAUCAAACCGCAUCUUUCAGCCUGGCUUGGAGUUCAGUUCCCUCAGUGACACUCUGCAAAGUGAAUAAAGGUUUAAUUUUUAAUUAAAAAUUGCAAUUUUAGUCAAUUGAAAGAUUUAUACCUGAAGAAAAAAGUUCACUCGUUUUUGUCAUUUGCAGUGAAAUUGAUGCCAAAUACACUUCAUUUUCAGCUCCCUGCCGGCUAAUUGUUUCGGCAAAAAGUCUGGGAAUUUUGAUUAUUUUGGCCAGGGAAAACCUGGAAAAGUUAGGAAAUGUUUUUCCUGUUAAGUCUGUAGACAUCCUGUUUUAAUGAAUUGUGUUAAUGGUGAUGAGUGAAAUUAAAGUAACGGUCAACAGCCAGUCAUGACAAAGAGUAACUUCUUCUCUUUUUUUUAAAUUUUUAGCAAACAAUGAUUUUCAAGGUCUCUCUAAAAAUUCAAGCUUGUUGAUUCUCUUGGGGUUCCGUGUAAUAUUGUUUUUCUGCUGGUACUAGUGUAUUAGUGUCAGCAAACUGAUCUCAAUUAUUGCAAAUAGAACUAAGAUCGUAUCCUUUAAAAUUUUGUAUGUAGUAAGAAGUGCAUUUCUCCUGUUAAAUAAAAAAUAUGCCAUCUUUCAUAACUGAUACAUUGUGACAGAGCCGAACUUUUAAUGGAGAUUCUUCUAUUGUAGAUCAAGUUUUGCCCAUGGAGCAAUGAAUUUAUUGGCAAAAAAUCGAAGCCCUUACGACAAAAUUCUAUAGCACUUCUUGAAAUCUCUUUGCAAGUCCCAAAUUACAGAAGAGCCUGGGUCAAACGAUCAAACUAAGCUCAUUAAUCCAACAAGGCCUCUGCCGUAUUGGUUGUGCGCUCACCAAUCAGAGCUUACCACCAUCAAAUUGACACGAGCCGCCUCUGUUCGCUAGAAUAUGGUAUUCUCGUUGUUUGGAUAGAGCAUGGGCUUAAAAGUCCAGGCUUUUGGCGCCUGCAGCCAGAACCAAUCCGACCUUGUUAGAUUGAUACGCUCAGUUUGCUUGUGUGAGCCAAGCCAUACUCAGGGUACUCAUCUCAGGAAAUCUCAAGGAUGUUUGCAGUCAAAAAAGUUUCAAGAAGUAUUUAAAAAUUUUAGCCUCAGGCUUACCGUCAAGUCUUGCUUAGCGUGUAUUGGUUUGUGGAGCAGUCUACCUCUUGAACUGUCAUUUUUCUCUCGCGUUCGGCGUUACUAAUUGACUUUGCAAUUUUGAACCACGAUUCUUCUCUCAAUGAUAUUGCCAGUGUUUGUCUGUAAGGAUUCGAUUCAAUAUAUUUCAGUUUAUACAGCCUUGUAUGAAUGAUUUUAUUUUAACCAUUACUCUUUCAUCUUAUUUGUAUAAUUGCUGGAGAUGCCUCGGCCUCCAAAAUUUAAUUAUAAGUCAUCCUUUUCAGAUGUCCCAUGGAAUCAUUAAAAAUACAGAUUUAUCACCUGA